rnacentral:rRNA from 1 species
AUGCCAAUUUCCAGGAAUACUUUCCUCAUGGAAAAUGGGUUUGGGGGCAUUCACAGUGGUUCAUCACAUAAGCUUGAUUGUUUAAUCAUAAUGAAAGAACCAAAUCAUGUGAUUUUGUUCUAUAUGCUUUUGCUUGGAUCAAACUCAAUUCCUAAUUCUUUUUGGUUGAUAGACCAUUGCUCUUGGUGUGCGGAUUUACUCAAUUUCAAUAGGAAUACUUUCCCCAUGAAAAAUGGGUUUGGGGGCAUUCACAGUGCUCCAUGUACGCAUUGCCAAUUAGGAUUAAAGAUUUGGUGGUGGGGGAGUUAA